rnacentral:rRNA from 1 species
GACGAACGCUGGCGGCGUGCCUAAUACAUGCAAGUUGAGCGAUGAAGAUUGGUGCUUGCACCAAUUUGAAGAGCAGCGAACGGGUGAGUAACGCGUGGGGAAUCUGCCUUUGAGCGGGGGACAACAUUUGGAAACGAAUGCUAAUACCGCAUAACAACUUUAAACAUAAGUUUUAAGUUUGAAAGAUGCAAUUGCAUCACUCAAAGAUGAUCCCGCGUUGUAUUAGCUAGUUGGUGAGGUAAAGGCUCACCAAGGCGAUGAUACAUAGCCGACCUGGGAGGGUGAUCGGCCACAUUGGGACUGAGACACGGCCCAAACUCCUACGGGAGGCAGCAGUAGGGAAUCUUCGGCAAUGGACGAAAGUCUGACCGAGCAACGCCGCGUGAGUGAAGAAGGUUUUCGGAUCGUAAAACUCUGUUGGUAGAGAAGAACGUUGGUGAGAGUGGAAAGCUCAUCAAGUGACGGUAACUACCCAGAAAGGGACGGCUAACUACGUG